GACGAACGCUGGCGGCGUGCCUAAUACAUGCAAGUAGAACGCUGAAGGAGGAGCUUGCUUCUCUGGAUGAGUUGCGAACGGGUGAGUAACGCGUAGGUAACCUGCCUGGUAGCGGGGGAUAACUAUUGGAAACGAUAGCUAAUACCGCAUAAUAGUAGAUGUUGCAUGACAUUUGCUUAAAAGGUGCAAUUGCAUCACUACCAGAUGGACCUGCGUUGUAUUAGCUAGUUGGUGGGGUAACGGCUCACCAAGGCGACGAUACAUAGCCGACCUGAGAGGGUGAUCGGCCACACUGGGACUGAGACACGGCCCAGACUGCUACGGGAGGCAGCAGUAGGGAAUCUUCGGCAAUGGACGGAAGUCUGACCGAGCAACGCCGCGUGAGUGAAGAAGGUUUUCGGAUCGUAAAGCUCUGUUGUAAGAGAAGAACGAGUGUGAGAGUGGAAAGUUCACACUGUGACGGUAUCUUACCAGAAAGGGACGGCUAACUACGUG
rnacentral:rRNA from 1 species